AUACGAACUGUGCAAACGUUAUUCGGAAUCACUGGGCUUAAAGGGUGCGUAGGCGGGUUUGAAGGUCUGAUGUGAAAGCCCACGGCUCAACCGUGGAAUUGCGUUGGAAACCACAAGCCUUGAGGGAGUCAGAGGUGAGCGGAACUAAUGGUGGAGCGGUGAAAUGCGUUGAUAUCAUUAGGAACACCGGUGGCGAAAGCGGCUCACUGGGACUCUUCUGACGCUGAGGCACGAAAGCUAGGGGAGCGAACGGGAUUAGAUACCCCGGUAGUCC
rnacentral:rRNA from 1 species